AAGUAAAAGUCGUAACAAGGUUUCCGUAGGUGAACCUGCGGAAGGAUCAUUACCGAGAGACGAGGUCUACCGGACCUCAACUCUUCGCCCUCGCAUAUCUCUACCUCUUUGUUGCUUUGGCGGGCCCAUCGGGAGUGGAUACUUCCGUCGUCGGGUGUCGCCGGCUUCUGGCCCGCGUCCGACGAGCGUCCGUCAGAGGAUCCGCAAACACUGUUAAGCAGCGCUGUCCGAGCAAUUGAAUAAUUGGCAAAACUUUCAACAACGGAUCUCUUGGUUCUGGCAUCGAUGAAGAACGCAGCGAAAUGCGAUAAGUAAUGUGAAUUGCAGAAUUCAGUGAAUCAUCGAAUCUUUGAACGCAUAUUGCGCCCUUCGGUACUCCCGAGGGGCAUGCCUGUUCGAGCGUCAUUGCACCACUCAAGCACUGCUUGGUCAUGGAUUGAGCCCUGCGAGGCUUCUCCGAAAUUGAGCGGCUGUCCAGCGAGGCUUCAAGCGUAGCAGGAUUUUUCAUUUCGCUUACGAACGCUUCGACUGCGGCAAACCUUGAUUGAUAUAUAUUCCACGAUUGACCUCGGAUCAGGCAGGGAUACCCGCUGAACUUAAGCAUAUCAAUAAGCGGAGGAAAAGAAACCAACUGGGAUUGCCUCAGUAACGGCGAGUGAAG
rnacentral:sRNA from 1 species